AUUGAACGCUGGCGGCAGGCCUAACACAUGCAAGUCGAACGAGUGGCGGACGGGUGAGUAAUGUCUGGGAAACUGCCUGAUGGAGGGGGAUAACUACUGGAAAAGGUAGCUAAUACCGCAUACCAUCGGAUGUGCCCAGAUGGGAUUAGCUUGUAGGUGAGGUAACGGCUCACCUAGGCGACGAUCCCUAGCUGGUCUGAGAGGAUGACCAGCCACAAUGGAACGGAGACGCGGUCCAGACUCCUACGUGGGGCAGCAGUGGGGAAUAUGGCACAAUGGGCUCAAGCCUGAUGCAGUCAUGCCGCGUGUAUUAAGAAGGCCUUCGGGUUGUAAAGUACUUUCAGCGGGGAUGCGUUACCCGCAGAAGAAUCACCGGCUAACUCCGUGCCAGCAGCCGCGGUAAUAC
rnacentral:rRNA from 1 species